GUGAGGAAUUUUGCGCAAUGGCCGCAAGGCUGACGCAGCAACGCCGCGUGGGUGAUGAAGGCCUUCGGGUCGUAAAGCCCUGUCAGGUGGGAAGAAAGGCCUGGAGAGGAAAGGUUUCAGGUUUGACGGUACCACCAGAGGAAGCACCGGCUAACUCCGUGCCAGCAGCCGCGGUAAUACGGAGGGUGCGAGCGUUAUUCGGAAUUACUGGGCGUAAAGCGCGUGUAGGCGGGGGGACAAGUCUGAUGUGAAAGCCCUGGGCUUAACCUGGGAAGCGCAUUGGAAACUGUUUUUCUUGAGUACUGGAGAGGAAGGGGGAAUUCCCGGUGUAGAGGUGAAAUUCGUAGAGAUCGGGAGGAAUACCAGUGGCGUAGGCGCCCUUCUGGACGGUAACUGACGCUGAGACGCGAAAGCGUGGGGAGCAAACAGGAUUAGAUACCCUAGUAGUCC
rnacentral:rRNA from 1 species